GAUGAACGCUGACAGAAUGCUUAACACAUGCAAGUCAUUGGCGAAGCUGCGCUUGCGCAGUCUAGCCAAGGCGGACGGGUGAGUAACGCGUAAGGAACUUGCCCUGCAGACAGGGAUAACAGACGGAAACGACUGAUAACACCUGGUAUUGUCAGGCUGGCGCAUGCCGGCCUGAUGAAAGGAGACGCUGCAGGAGAGCCUUGCGUCCUAUUAGCUAGUUGGUGGGGUAACGGCCCACCAAGGCGAUGAUAGGUAGCCGGCCUGAGAGGGUGAACGGCCACAAGGGGACUGAGAUACGGCCCUUACUCCUACGGGAGGCAGCAGUGGGGAAUAUUGGACAAUGGGGGCAACCCUGAUCCAGCAAUUCUGUGUACACGAAGAAGGUUUUCGGAUUGUAAAGUGCUUUCAGCAGGGAAGAAGAAAGUGACGGUACCUGCAGAAGAAGCGACGGCUAAAUACGUG
rnacentral:rRNA from 1 species